GAGGUCUCAAGCGUUGUUCGGAUUCAUUGGGCGUAAAGGGUGCGUAGGCGGCGCGGUAAGUCGGGUGUGAAAUCUUGGAGCUUAACUCCGAAACUGCAUUCGACACUGCCGUGCUUGAGGACUGGAGAGGAGACUGGAAUUUACGGUGUAGCGGUGAAAUGCGUAGAUAUCGUAAGGAAGACCAGUGGCGAAGGCGGGUCUCUGGACAGUUCCUGACGCUGAGGCACGAAGGCCAGGGGAGCAAACGGGAUUAGAUACCCCGGUAGUCCUGGCAGUAAACGGUGCACGUUUGGUGUGGGAGGAUUCGACCCCUUCUGCGCCGGAGCUAACGCGUUAAACGUGCCGCUGGGGAAGUACCGGCGCAAGAAUAAAACUCAAAGAAAUUGACGGGGGCCCGCACAAGCGGUGGAGUAUGUGGCUCAAUUCGAUGCAACGCGAAAAACCUUACCUGGCCUUGACAUGCAUCUCUAAGCGCGUGAAAGCGCGUGAGUCCCGAAAGGGACAAUUUGCACAGGUGCUGCAUGGCUGUCGUCAGCUCGUGUCGUGAGAUGUUGGGUUAAGUCCCGCAACGAGCGCAACCCCUGUGAACUGUUGCCACCGAGCCGUGAGGCUCGAGCACUCUGUUCAGACUGCCCCGCUCUAACGGGGAGGAAGGUGGGGACGACGUCAAGUCAGUAUGGCCCUUACGGCCAGGGCUGCACACGUACUACAAUGCCCAGUACAGAAGGAUCCUAGACCGCGAGGUGGAGGAAAUCACUAAAACUGG
rnacentral:rRNA from 1 species